UACGUAGGGGGCAAGCGUUGUCCGGAUUCAUUGGGCGUAAAGAGCGUGUAGGCGGCCAGGUAGGUCGGUUGUGAAAACUGGAGGCUCAACCUUCAGACGUCGACCGAAACCAUCUGGCUAGAGUCCGGGAGAGGAGAGUGGAAUUCCUGGUGUAGCGGUGAAAUGCGCAGAGAUCGGGAAGAACAUCAGUGGCGAAGGCGGCCUGCUGGGCUGUUGCUGACGCUGAGGCGCGACAGCGUGGGGAGCAAACAGG
rnacentral:rRNA from 1 species